rnacentral:rRNA from 1 species
AGGACGAACGCUGGCGGCGUGCUUAACACAUGCAAGUCGAGCGGAAAGGCCCUUCGGGGUACUCGAGCGGCGAACGGGUGAGUAACACGUGAGCAACCUGCCCUUAGCUUCGGGAUAGCUCCGGGAAACCGGAAUUAAUACCGAAUACGACUGCGGCUGACAUCAGCCACGGUGGAAAGUUUUUCGGCUAGGGAUGGACUCGCGGCCUAUCAGCUUGUUGGCGGGUAACGCCCACCAAGGCGACGACGGAUA